rnacentral:lncRNA from 1 species
UGGAUGCAUGACUCCUACAUGUGCUGUGAGAUUGUCAGUUAGCUAGGGAUCCAGAACUAAGCAUUUCUCACCUCGCAUGGAAGGAGCCUCUAUCAGCCCCUUGUCCUGGGAGGGGGGAGCAGGUCCUGGGUUCUUACCUUUGGAAUGCAAAAACAUCUCUUUAGGGGGAAGAUAAGAUGGGUUCCUAAAAUUCAUGACCCAGGAGACUUUGAAAUGUAAACACAUAGAAAGAUAACACUCUAAAUCCCUCCAGUGGUCUAGGCUUUUUUCAAUCUCCUUUUCCGCCUUUAAUUCAGGUGCCUAUCCUGGAAUGGAAACUUUUGGCUCUUGGGGAUAAAAGUUUUAUGAUCCUUUGCAUGGGAGCAAUAAGCUCCACAGUUAAGGAGACAGAUGGCCAAAUACCUUAUACUUAGGCAAGUGAAAAGCAAUUUUUUUUCUGGUGAAAGUAAAAUAGAAUUAUCUCAAUUUUUAUAGUGUAUUGAUUUUUUUUAUAGUGUAGUGGCUCAGGUGGUCAGGACUUUACAAAACACUGAGAAACCCAGGGAAGAUCUAUUUUCUCACAACAUAUGUAAAACAUAUGUUAACAUAUAUUAAAUUUUUUCAAUAAACGGUACUAGAAAAAAUUAGUUUAUGAUUUGGGGAAACAUUUAAAAUGUGUAAAGAGUCUAAUGUGACAAAUCAGGUUGUAAAAAUACUAGGAAAAAUAGAAAUUGAUACAUUAUCAAAUAUCUGAGAAAGAUUUUCUAGACUUAAAAAUAGUAUAAGAAAUUGGAGAGAAAAGAUAAUGGAUAUGAUUAUAUACAAUCAUAAAAUGUCUGUAAGCCCAAAACAUGGAAGGCAAACAAAAUUUAUUCCAGAAGAUGUAGUAGAGAAGGGACAAAUGUUUCUUAAAUAUAUGACUACAUUGGUAACAUAAUCCUACAGUUUUUGAGUGUAAAUACAGAUAUUAUCUUUUCAGAAAUUAAUUAGUCAAAUUAUAGCUUCAGCCUUAAAAAUGUUUGUAUUUCUUGGUAUAGUCAAUCUAAUUUUAAGGAGCUAUGUAAAGGUUCUGGCUAAAAUACAAGUAGUUUUAGGCACAAGAGAUUCAUAACUGUUUAUAAAGAAUAUGAACAACAACAAAAAAGAACAGAGUGUCACUCAUUAUCCAUUUACACAAGGGUUAAAUCACAGCCCACUUUGGUCUCCUGACAGUGUACCCUGAAAGGAAUUUGGGAAUGAACAAAAACAGGAGGAGGCUUUCUGUGCUUCAGAUAAAGGGCUCCUUGAUAGUUAAGGUGCAUAUCUCAGGAAGAAUUUCAGUGACCCCAGAUUCUUGCAUCUUCCCACACAUAGGAAAGCAUGAAAGUCAUUAGCUUGAGAUAUCUGUUCUUUGUAAUUAGCAGUUAGUUAUCUCUUAUUAAGACAUAUGCUUGACUUUCUGUAUUUCCUAGCCCCCAAAUUAAUGCAUAUCCUGGGUCCUCCCCUACCUCUGCAAAGCAGUUUCCCAGAGCUGUCUCCAGGGUUAAAGUCCUCAAUAAGACCCUGAAUAAAACUCUCAUGUGGUGUGUUUUCCUGUAAGUUGGCAAGAAGAAAAAUAAAAAUGAAUGAAAAUUUCAACUAUAUAGCUUUCUUUAUGAGAUGAUACCCAUGGUAUAUACAUAGGAUAUGGAGUAAUUUUAUGUAUUCAGUAAAAUGACAUUACUGAAUGAUGCUAAAGUUAGCAAGUCUACCUGAAGAAAGUUCUUAUAAGCACAUAAGGAUAAAGCAAAGAGAAAAUCUGGUAGAGAAGGGGUAAGGAGGACUCAAACUGUUAAGAAUAGUUAUUUCUCAAUUGUAAGAUGUGGGUAACUUUGAUUUUGUUCAAUAGAAUUCUUUACAGUCCCUAAGCUUUUUGAUAAGCAGGUAAUAAUUUGUAAUCACAAACAGAUGAUACCUUUGUAAGGUAAUGAUGGGGAAUUUUAAAAGUAAGGAUUAAAGUAAGUAUAUGCAUCACAGUCCAAUGUCUUAUUAAAAUUAAGAGUUCAAAGUGGCUAAGAGGAGCUCCAAUCAUCCCACUAUUACUGAAUGAAAGUUCACGUGCCCAACAGGUGGCAAGCUCAAACAAACUGAAAUGUUGGCAUUUGGAGCAAAAAAAAGGUUUAUUGCAGGACCAAACAGGGAAGACGGGUGGCUUGUACUCAAAACCCCAAAAUUCCCCAAUGGUUUUCAGGGAGAAAUUUUUAUAGGCCAAAUUUGGGAUGAAGGCUGCAGGGUGUGUGACUUUGUUCUAAUUGGUUGGUGGUGAGGUAGCAGGAGAGUAUUCCUUGAUUCUGCACUCAGCCUGAAGUUACCAUCCUCCACCCGGGUGGGGCCUUAGUUCCUGCAGAAAAACUCAAAGAUAUAUUGUUAUGCAUAUUCCUUGAGUAGGAACUGGGACCCUGCCCUAUUGCUACACUAUUUUUUUUUCCUUAAAGUAAAAAAAAAAUUAAUUGACAAAAGAGCAAAUUUAUCAAAUUCGACAAUAAAUGUUAGUGGGUUAAACACACUCCAACAAAGACAAAGAUUCUAAACAUUCAAUUAUAUGCUGUUAAUAAGGCAGGCCUAAAACCAAAUGACUCAGAAAUCUAACAUAAGAGGAAGGGCAAAAUGUGUCUAGAAAACACAAAUGGAAAGAAGGUUUAGAUGGAAAUAUUUAUACCAAACAAAACAGAAUCUGAGGCAAAAGAACAUUUAAUGAGACAGAGUAUGUGAAAAAUUUCAACUAUACUGGUAGUAAAAAUUUCACUUUAAAGAAGCAGUUUCACUUAUCAAACUGAUAAGUAUGUUUUAAUUAUAACUCUUAUCAUUGAGUGUACAGGUAAGUGGGCACAUCCUUAGCUACUAUUAAGAAGACAAAAAGGAGAACGAUCAAUACAGUAUGAAUACAUAUGACAGAAUAAACUGUAACCACUAAAAAUCAUGUUUAAAAACUUUAAUGAAUGGCAAUGUACUCAUCAAAAAAUACUAAGUAAAAUAGAUAAGAUAAAGGCAUAUACAAUAGGAUUUCAAUUUGUCCUAAAUAAAAUAUGCAUGUGUGUCGCAAGACAUGUUUCUACAAUAUUUUCUUAGCCUCUUUGCUGAAAACUCCAUCUUGUCUGUCCUGCUUUACUUUACCCUUUCUUUCUGCUUGAAAAACAGUCAUAGUGCUGGUGAAUGACUUAAGCUUAAGAACAAAGACCUAAAGGCAUAAGUUAUUCACAGGAUCAGCUAAAUGAGGGCAUAAUGCGUUGGUCUAGGCACGUGGGACCUGUGCAGAUUGGCAUUCCGUUUGCACAGCAUGAUACGUCCUUUUAGAAUAAAAGAAGAGGAGCCUCAUGGCCCCAAGGGGUUUAUGAGGGGUCAUUAGCAGGAUAUGCAUUAGCAAGGAGAACCAAGGUGCAAACCUAGGCACAUCUGGUUGCUGCAGAUAGCACCACUCUGCAGAAGCACAGUGGUGAUUCUCUAGAUGCUAUGCAUAGAUAACUGACGCCAAGCUUCCUCAAAUGUUCAUGAUUGUUAAAUGCCUAAAGGUCAGAAUAAAAGCUUAAUCAGCAACCGGCUAUGCGACUUUUAAAAUAACUUAAAAAAACCUAUAUCCUGCACCUACAACCCCCUCCUCACUUGAUGUAAUCCUCAAGAGCACAAUAAAACCAGUGUGGUUUCUUGAGGUGGCACUCUGCCCUGAGACCUUGAGUCUCCCGGUUCCCACCUUUACUUAAGAUAAAUGUCUCUGUGUCUUGUUUUAUGUUAACUUUUUUCCUUAAGUUUCACACCACCCAUUCUUCAGCCCCAUCCUGCUGAGCUGGUCUUGGCGCACGUGAGUUUUUUUUUAAUUAGAAACAAUAUACCUAAAUAAUACUCUGUUUAAGUUAGAGGAGAGCUAUAGUUACUUUUUAUGCUAUUUUUCCCUAGAAAGAAAGAAAGAAAG